AUGGAGUUCCCAAAGAUCCAGGUUUUCCUGACUUCAAAGAAGAUUUGGAAGCUGGCAAGGCAUUUUCCUGGAACAUCAGCCUCUACGGAAGAUUCAACACAAACUACAGGCGUUCUAAACACUGAAGAAGACUUUAAAGCGGAUGGGCAUUGCUGGGACUUUUUUCCCCUCCACAAGGUACCAGGGGAAUUCAACUUCUACCACACGGGGUUUGUGACUCGAUCUCUGACAGAGGGAGUUCAGAUGUUCAACUUUGUUCAAUAGAGAGUCAGAGUUCCCCACUCUUACAAAGGGUUCCAGAACUACCUCUCUUAAAUUACCUAACUCCUUCCCAUUUUGAUGAAGCAGAUAUAUGAGCCCGGGGUUAGGACAUAAAAGGCCUCAUAUCUUCUUAUUUUGCCUAGGGUGGGGUGGGGGGAGCUUAGAUAUUAACGUUGAGAAAAGGCCCUCGCACCUUCCCAUUCGUAUCAAGUGGACCUCAGAAAUUACUCCUGUCAUUAAAGGACCUCCAGACCAAUGAGGCUACAGCAGUUAGGCUAAGAGCACAUAAGACCCUAGCACUCUGAGGAAGUGUUUGUGUAGGACCUACCUCCUGUGACUAAAGGGAUUUCAGACAUUCCAUUUCUCCCUAUGGUAUUCUGUCACUAGCUGCCCUAAUGAUAAUGGUUCUCAGAAGUGGCCCAUGUUGCCAAGGGGACUGUGUACCUUUCCCUUCUGCUCAAGGGACCUUCAGGCAGACAUUU
rnacentral:lncRNA from 1 species